rnacentral:rRNA from 1 species
GCUUGCACCUUUCAAGCGAGUGGCGAACGGGUGAGUAACACGUGGAUAACCUGCCUCAAGGCUGGGGAUAACAUUUGGAAACAGAUGCUAAUACCGAAUAAAACUUAGUAUCGCAUGAUACAAAGUUGAAAGGCGCUACGGCGUCACCUAGAGAUGGGUCCGCGGUGCAUUAGUUAGUUGGUGGGGUAAAGGCCUACCAAGACAAUGAUGCAUAGCCGAGUUGAGAGACUGAUCGGCCACAUUGGGACUGAGACACGGCCCAAACUCCUACGGGAGGCUGCAGUAGGGAAUCUUCCACAAUGGGCGAAAGCCUGAUGGAGCAACGCCGCGUGUGUGAUGAAGGCUUUAGGGUCGUAAAGCACUGUUGUAUGGGAAGAAAUGCUAGAAUAGGGAAUGAUUCUAGUUCGACGGUACCAUACCAGAAAGGGACGGCUAAAUACGUGCCAGCAGCCGCGGUAAUACGUAUGUCCCGAGCGUUAUCCGGAUUUAUUGGGCGUAAAGCGAGCGCAGACGGUUGAUUAAGUCUGAUGUGAAAGCCCGGAGCUCAACUCCGGAAUGGCAUUGGAAACUGGUUAACUUGAGUGUUGUAGAGGUAAGUGGAACUCCAUGGGUAACG